rnacentral:lncRNA from 1 species
GGGGUAAACGUCAUACUCUGGGGGGUAUGGUACCCAAAAGGGCCCUUUUAGGAGAUUGUUCUAAUGGAGGCAGUGCCCCCCAGAGUGUGGAUUCCUUAGGGUGGACUGAAGAGGAAGGAAGAAUAGAGACCUCGUGUGCCCAGGAGAUGGGGACGGCCUUGGCUUCCUUUGUGGGAGGAGCACUGUGGAGGCAGAACCACUCUACAGAAUGACCAAAUGAAAAAUACCUUGGUAAACCAUGAAAAAUAGCUAACGUCAUAUAGACCAAACACCAUUCUGCAGGAAAACGGAGGGGUUUGGAGGGACUGGAAAUACUUCCACCCCAGGAAUUUCCAGGACAUCUGGUAAGUCAACAACAUUAUCGCAAACAUUAUGGCCAACAAUGUGAGUUCUUGCAAC